rnacentral:rRNA from 1 species
AGGGAAAGCAGGCGGCAGGAAGAAGAAAGGGAAGUCGAACGAGUGGCGGACGGGUGAGUAAUGUCUGGGAAACUGCCUGAUGGAGGGGGAUAACUACUGGAAACGGUAGCUAAUACCGCAUACCAUCGGAUGUGCCCAGAUGGGAUUAGCUAGUUGGUGGGGUAAAGGCACACAAAGGCGACGAUCCCUAGCUGGUCUGAGAGGAUGACCCUCCACACUUCGUCUGCGACCCGGUCACGCCUCCUACGGGCCGCAGCGUUGGUGCAUAUUGCACAAUGUGCGCAAGCCUGAUGCAGCCAUGCCGCGUGUAUUAAGAAGCCCUUCGGGUUGUCAAGUACUUUCAGCGGGGAGUCGUUACCCGCAGAAGAAGCACCGGCUAACUCCGUUCCCGCAGCCGCGGUAAUAC